UACGUAGGUGGCAAGCGUUGUCCGGAAUUACUGGGUGUAAAGGGCGUGUAGGCGGGAAGGCAAGUCAGAUGUGAAAGCCCAUGGCUUAACUGUGGAACUGCAUCUGAAACUGUUUUUCUUGAGUACUGGAGAGGAAAGUGGAAUUCCUAGUGUAGCGGUGAAAUGCGUAGAGAUUAGGAGGAACACCAGUGGCGAAGGCGGCUUUCUGGACAGUAACUGACGCUGAGGCGCGAAAGCGUGGGGAGCAAACAGGAUUAGAUACCCUGGUA
rnacentral:rRNA from 1 species